UACGAGUGGGGCUAGCGUUACUCAUCAUGAAUAGGUCUAUAGGGUCUGUAGGUGGCUCAUUUAGCUCCCUCCAAGUAAAAGGAGCAGAGUAAACUGAUGAGCUAGAGUGUGAUCGAGGGAAGGGGAACACUAGGAGUAGGGAUGGAAUCUGAUAAUCCCUAGAGGACCGUUAAAGGCGUAGGCACCUUCCUAGCUAAAGACUGACACUGAGAGACGAAAGUGUGGGGAGCAAAAAGG
rnacentral:rRNA from 1 species